rnacentral:rRNA from 1 species
CCUACGGGUGGCAGCAGUGGGGGAUAUUGCACAAUGGGGGAAACCCUGAUGCAGCAACGCCGCGUGAGUGAAGAAGUAUUUCGGUAUGUAAAGCUCUAUCAGCAGGGAAGAGAAUGACGGUACCUGACUAAGAAGCCCCGGCUAACUACGUGCCAGCAGCCGCGGUAAUACGUAGGGGGCGAGCGUUAUCCGGAUUUACUGGGUGUAAAGGAUGCGUAGGCGGUUAAACAAGUUAUAUGUUAAAUAUAUAGGCUUAACCUGUAGAAAGCAUAUAAAACUGUUUAACUAGAGUGCAGGAGAGGUAAGUGGAAUUCCUAGUGUAGCGGUGAAAUGCGUAGAGAUUAGGAAGAACACCAGUGGCGAAGGCGACUUACUGGACUGUAACUGACGCUGAGGCAUGAGAGCAUGGGGAGCAAACAGGAUUAGAUACCCGAGUAGUC